rnacentral:rRNA from 1 species
CGUGGGUAACCUGCCCAAGAGAUCGGGAUAACACCUGGAAACAGAUGCUAAUACCGGAUAACAACAGAUGAUGCCUAUCAACUGUUUAAAAGGUGGUUCUGCUAUCACUCUUGGAUGGACCUGCGGUGCAUUAGCUAGUUGGUAGGGUAACGGCCUACCAAGGCGAUGAUGCAUAGCCGAGUUGAGAGACUGAUCGGCCACAUUGGGACUGAGACACGGCCCAAACUCCUACGGGAGGCAGCAGUG